AAGUCAAGGACGUCCUUAGCUUAGAUACAUCUUAACGCGUCCUUAUGGGACACGCGUCACACAUGGACGUCUUCUACUCUCUCUCAUCUCUAUCUCUCUUCUUCUUUUCCUCUGUCGCCUUCUCCCGCUUCUCCUCAUCCACCAACAAAGUCGCCUCCUUUACUCCGAUCAAAGCUCGACGCUUUCUCAACCCCGAUUUGCCGGCGAUCUCUUCCAACCUAUCUAACAAAAUCGUCCCUUGGCCAAAGCUUCUGGGUGUUCACUGUUUUGCUAUGGCAAAUCGAAUCACUGGAUCAAGUUCUUGCUAUGGAGCUCUUCUCUUGUAAAUGAACAAUCUGCUCUACAUACAGAGCUUCACCGAUGCUGAUGAUGCCCUCAAGCUCCACCACGUCGUUCAUUGCUCCCUCGACGUCAUCGAAGAGUGAGGUUCUUUCUUGCUUCACUUCCAUGUUUCCCCUUUGUUGUUUUGUCUGGAUCGCAUAGCUAAUAGCUGAAAAAGAAAGUUCAUGUGGCGGAGGAUGUGAAGCC